rnacentral:rRNA from 1 species
CCAGAGAACUUUCCAGAGAUGGAUUGGUGCCUUCGGGAACUCUGAGACAGGUGCUGCAUGGCUGUCGUCAGCUCGUGUUGUGAAAUGUUGGGUUAAGUCCCGCAACGAGCGCAACCCUUAUCCUUUGUUGCCAGCGGUUAGGCCGGAACUCAAAGGAGACUGCCAGUGAUAAACUGGAGGAAGGUGGGGAUGACGUCAAGUCAUCAUGGCCCUUACGAGUAGGGCUACACACGUGCUACAAUGGCGCAUACAAAGAGAAGCGACCUCGCGAGAGCAAGCGGACCUCAUAAAGUGCGUCGUAGUCCGGAUUGGAGUCUGCAACUCGACUCCAUGAAGUCGGAAUCGCUAGUAAUCGUGGAUCAGAAUGCCACGGUGAAUACGUUCCCGGGCCUUGUACACACCGCCCGUCACACCAUGGGAGUGGGUUGCAAAAGAAGUAGGUAGCUUAACCUUCGGGAGGGCGCUUACCACUUUGUGAUUCAUGACUGGGGUGAAGUCGUAACAAGGUAAGCGUAGUGCU